UGGGGAAUUGUUCACAAUGGGCGCAAGCCUGAUGACGCAACGCCGCGUGGGGGAUGAAGGCCUUCGGGUCGUAAACCCCUGUCGAAUGGGACGAAUAGCCCGCGAUUUAACAAAACGCGGGAAUGACGGUACCGUUAAAGGAAGCCACGGCUAACUCUGUGCCAGCAGCCGCGGUAAUACAGAGGUGGCAAGCGUUGUUCGGAAUUACUGGGCGUAAAGGGCGCGUAGGCGGCCUUCUAAGUCAGACGUGAAAUCCCCCGGCUUAACCUGGGAACUGCGUCUGAUACUGGGGGGCUUGAGUAUGGGAGAGGGAUGUAGAAUUCCAGGUGUAGCGGUGAAAUGCGUAGAUAUCUGGAGGAAUACCGGUGGCGAAGGCGGCAUCCUGGACCAUAACUGACGCUGAGGCGCGAAAGCCAGGGGAGCAAA
rnacentral:rRNA from 1 species